AGUGAACGCAGGCGGUAGGCCUAACACAUGCAAGUCGAACGGCAGCACAGGAGAGCUUGCUCUCUGGGUGUCGAGUGGCGGACGGGGGAGGAAUACAUCGGAAUUUACUCUGUCGUGGGGGAUAACGUAGGGAAAAUUACGCUAAUACCGCAUACGACCUACGUGUGAAAGCAGGGGAUCUUCGGAUCUUGCGCGAUUGACUGAGCCGAUGUCGGAUUAGCUAGUUGGCGGGGUAAAGGCCCACCAAGGCGACGAUCCGUAGCUGGUCUGAGAGGAUGAUCAGCCACACUGGAACUGAGACACGGUCCAGACUCCUACGGGAGGCAGCAGUGGGGAAUAUUGGACAAUGGGCGCAAGCCUGAUCCAGCCAUACCGAGUGGGUGAAGAAGGCCUUCGGGUUGUAAAGCCCUUUUGUUGGGAAAGAAAUCCAGCUGGCUAAUACCCGGUUGGGAUGACGGUACCCAAAGAAUAAGCACCGGCUAACUUCGUGCCAGCCGCCGCCGUAA
rnacentral:rRNA from 1 species